AUUACCGCGGCUGCUGGCACAGAGUUAGCCGGGGCUUCUUCCUGCGGUACCGUCAGCCCGCCGGCUUAUUCAUCCGACGGGGAUUCGUUCCGCUCGAAAGGAGUUUACAACCCGAAAGCCUUCAUCCUCCACGCGGCGUCGCUGCGUCAGGCUUUCGCCCAUUGCGCAAUAUUCCUCACUGCUGCCUCCCGUAGG
rnacentral:rRNA from 1 species